rnacentral:rRNA from 1 species
GGGCACUUCGGUGCUAGUGGCAGACGGGUGAGUAACACGUGGGAACGUACCUUUCGGUUCGGAAUAAUUCAGGGAAACUUGGACUAAUACCGGAUACGCCCUUAGGGGGAAAGAUUCAUCGCCGAUAGAUCGGCCCGCGUCUGAUUAGCUAGUUGGUGAGGUAAUGGCUCACCAAGGCGACGAUCAGUAGCUGGUCUGAGAGGAUGAUCAGCCACAUUGGGACUGAGACACGGCCCAAACUCCUACGGGAGGCAGCAGUGGGGAAUAUUGGACAAUGGGCGCAAGCCUGAUCCAGCCAUGCCGCGUGAGUGAUGAAGGCCUUAGGGUUGUAAAGCUCUUUUGUCCGGGAAGAUAAUGACUGUACCGGAAGAAUAAGCCCCGGCUAACUUCGUGCCAGCAGCCGCGGUAAUACGAAGGGGGCUAGCGUUGCUCGGAAUCACUGGGCGUAAAGGGCGCGUAGGCGGACUUUUAAGUCGGGGGUGAAAGCCCAGGGCUCAACCCUGGAAUUGCCUUCGAUACUGGGAGUCUUGAGUUCGGAAGAGGUUGGUGGAACUGCGAGUGUAGAGGUGAAAUUCGUAGA